rnacentral:rRNA from 1 species
GAUGAACGCUAGCGGGAGGCCUAACACAUGCAAGCCGAGCGGUAUUGUUUCUUCGGAAAUGAGAGAGCGGCGUACGGGUGCGUAACACGUGUGCAACCUGCCUUUAUCUGGGGGAUAGCCUUUCGAAAGGAAGAUUAAUACUCCAUAAUAUAUUGAACGGCAUCGUUUAAUAUUGAAAGCUCCGGCGGAUAGAGAUGGGCAUGCGUCCUAUUAGCUAGAUGGUGAGGUAACGGCUCACCAUGGCUACGAUAGGUAGGGGGCCUGAGAGGGUGGUCCCCCACACUGGUACUGAGACACGGACCAGACUCCUACGGGAGGCAGCAGUGAGGAAUAUUGGUCAAUGGGCGCAAGCCUGAACCAGCCAUGCCGCGUGCAGGAAGAAUGCCCUAUGGGUUGUAAACUGCUUUUAUUUGGGAAUAAACCUCUUUACGUGUAGAGAGCUGAAGGUACCAAAUGAAUAAGCACCGGCUAACUCCGUGCCAGCCGCCGCGGUAA